rnacentral:lncRNA from 1 species
GAGGCCGCCCAGCUCCCUGAGCAGCCUGUGUUCGGGACUGCGCGUGCGCGAACGUGGCGGUGCCCGGUUCCCCCACCCCCACCCCUCGCGGGUCUUGAGCGUCGUCGUGACGCCUGUGGAGUUUCAAAGCCUUUUUAAAAAAUGUCUCUCAACGGCUACGCGACGACCCUGAGACGCGGUAGCCUGCACGGAAGGGCGGGGAGCUCCUCGGUGGCCUGUGGGGACCCCAGGGCCUUAGCCACUGGCCCCCGGGCCGGGCAGCAGCCACCGGGCGGGUCCGAAGGCGCCGCCGCUCGACUUCCGGAACCCGGAGCAGGAAGGAAAAGCCCGUAGGGACUCCAACACCGACCGGCGUCCCAGGAGCUGUAGAUUCCGUAUCUGUGGUCACACCUGAUAAACUCGCUGAUAUCCGCAGAUCUCCAAGCCGAAGGAACAGAUGUUCACACUUCCAGGAGCGGCCAGGACCAAUUCCUACAUCGCACCUGCCCUGUUACCUUCAAAUGCUGUCUUUUGUCUUUGGAGAUCACAAAGCCUUAUUGCAUCUGAUCAGAUUAAAGUUAAAAUUCUGUAGAUUGGACAUUUACGGAUAAUAUGACGUGCUUUUAUAUCUUUAACAAAACGAAAGUGCCGGAAAACACACUUUAAACUUUUAACUUAUCAAUAAAAUGAAUUCAUUUAGCCCCAGUAGAUUAUUUUAAGCUAGUGAUA